AUUGAACGCUGGCGGCAUGCCUUACACAUGCAAGUCGAACGGCAGCACGGGAGCAAUCCUGGUGGCGAGUGGCGAACGGGUGAGUAAUAUAUCGGAACGUGCCCAGUCGUGGGGGAUAACGUAGCGAAAGCUACGCUAAUACCGCAUACGAUCUAUGGAUGAAAGCGGGGGAUCGCAAGACCUCGCGCGAUUGGAGCGGCCGAUAUCAGAUUAGGUAGUUGGUGGGGUAAAGGCCCACCAAGCCGACGAUCUGUAGCUGGUCUGAGAGGACGACCGGCCACACUGGGACUGAGACACGGCACAGGUUCCUACGGGAGGCAGCAGUGGGGAAUUUUGGAAAAUGGGCGCAAGCCUGGUCCAGCAAUGCCGCGUGCAGGAUGAAGGCCUUCGGGUUGUAAACUGCUUUUGUACGGAGCGAAAAGGCUUCCACUAAUACUGGGGGCUCAUGACGGUACCGUAAGAAGCACCGGCUAACUACGUGCCAGCCGCCGCAGUAAUAC
rnacentral:rRNA from 1 species